rnacentral:tRNA from 1 species
GAGGGUAUAACUCGGUGUUAGAGCAUGUGCUUAGCAUACAUGAAGUCCUGGGUUCAAUCCCCAGUACCUCCA